UUGUAUACAUUUUUUUAAGGGAGAGCAUUUUUUUUAAUCCACCUGAAGAAGACCUAAUCUUUCCCUUCAAAGGAUAGUUAAUUGUUACUACGGCUUCCAUAGUGGUCCCAUCAGAGAAAAUCAUAUCCAUAUACAGAUUUUUAUUAAUUCCAGGGCUGGUUCAGUAAAGAUUAUAAUAAUAACUACAUCAGAUAAUUCUUGGUCGCAGUUGGAAUUUUGCAGCCUGAGAGAUGGUUGAGAAGGUUUGCAGUUCUUGUUUUAGCAAAAUAUGUUAUAAUAGAAGAUCUUUAUUGUGAUUGUGCAUGAAAUUAUCUGCAAACCAGCAAAGUGCAUCGGUCUGAGGUAUCUAAAAAUAAAUAAGUAAAGAAAAAUGCUUCUAAAGCCAAUAAUAAACAGAAUAUUUUGAGGGAAUAUUCUAAAAAGGAAAGAAAAGCUCCAUUCUCACUCCUCUCAGGAGAAACUGUCAUUAAAAUUGACUUUAAAUUUAGCUUCAACACGAGAUAAAAACAUUUACUUUCAUUAGUGAUAUUGUCAAGUUUUAAUAAAGUUCAUGCUACUUUUAUAAAAUGAUGAAAGUGAAUAAAUUGUAUUUCUGUGUUUGAUUUCUGUCUUUUCUCCUGUCAUCCAGAUGUUCAGAGGGAGAUGAUGCCACAUCUGGUCCAGCCGAUGGAAGGUCUUGAAGUUCUCUGACUGGCCUCGACUGAAGAUGGUCGUCUCGCUGGAUUUAAGGUUCAGAUGCUCAGUAACAAACUCCACCAAUGUGCCAACAGGGAAGCUUUAGGUUUAUUAAAUGUUGCUAUGAAGGUAUCACUGUUUUUCUUUGUGAAUGCAAUGUGCUACAACUGAAACUUGAAUUAGAACUUAGAAGUAAAUCCUUCCAUCUGAAAGGAUUUAGUUGCAUUAAUAACCUCAUAACAUUCUAAUUUUUAUUCCAGUCUUAGUUGGAAAUAGAAUCUCUGUAUUGAUUCAGGUAAAGACUGAACUUCACAGCAUGUUGAAGCAAAACAACCAGAUGAAAACUGUGAUGGUGUUGGAUUGUCAGACCGUAAUGUUGCAGCUCAAAGCAGCUUUUCUAGCUCAGUUCAUUCUGACAUUCAGCUAUGAAUCAACACAGCAGAUGGUGAUCUAUGCUGUGGAAGUCUCACAUCUCCUGAUUUAAUGGAGCUGCUUUGCACUUUUUACACUGUUUAUUCACCAACACUUUAUUUAAUAAAAGUCCCAUCUAGUUUUCAUGAGGAAUGUGAUGUUUUAAUUUCUCUGUGAAUAACUGCAGUCUAAUGCAACAGCUGGAAUUGUAACAUCUGUCCUGAUAUUGAUCAUGAAGUAUUUAUCAGAAUACUUAUGGUCAGCAGUCAUCCCUGAAGUUUUACAUUAAAAUCUUUACUUGUGUUGUGAACUUUGGUAAGAAGCAGAAACGUUAGCGUUGCCAUGGAUACAUGAGUGUUAAAUUCUGUCCAUGUUUCCAUUUUGGGAAAUGCAGUCCAGUUCCAGAAUGUGGAGGAAUUUAGUCUCACAAUCACAGACAACAAAUAUUAUCUGAAAGUCGGGUUAUUGUUGUUUAUCAAUCAACAAUCAAUCAACAAUACAAAAAGAUUGUUAGAAAUAUUCCAGUUAAGACUCUAGAAUAUCAUCAUUUAUGUAAAUUUACCUCAAUAAUAUGAAUGUUCAGGUUAAGAUUGUACAGUGAUACUUAUUAUGGAAGUUUAGCUGAUUAAAGUUUAUGACUGCACUAAAAUAUUAUUUAAAUUGACAUCAUUAUAAUAUUUAGGGUCAGACCCUACAGUAUUGAGAUUAAGAAAUCAAAUAUUCUAUAAAAUGUAAAUACACUGAACUCAUUUGGAUAUAUUUAAGUGAGACUCUACAAUAUUAUUUAACACAAAUCUAUCUAAAUCAAAAUUUUAAUUUUCACGCCAAACAUUUACUGGACUGAUCUAAAUAUUAAAAUCACUCCUUUCUAAUCCUCUGCUGUACGUUCAAACCUGAGGCCUUAAAUAGAAACACACAAGUAUCUGAUUGAAGGAACUUCUGCAGAGUCCUGGUUCCAGAACAUGAUGAUAGAAUUAUAGACAAACUUUAACAAAAGCUGCCUGAGAGUUUACAGGUUUUUAUGUUAGAUUUCUUCAGUAAUUUAAUGAGCGUUAUCAGCAAAAAUCAAGUGUUCAUUUGAUGAACUUCAUUUCCUAAAACAUCCAGAAUUGGAGCUCAUAUCUUUGGCAGCUGUAAAGUUUCUGCUCCUUCAAAGUUCACAACACAAUGAAUGAAUUCCUAAAACACUCUCAAUGCUGGAGAGCGUUUGUGAUGCUGAAGCAGUGACCAGUUUUUCUGUUUCUUCUCUGGAGAUACACAAUGAGGGAUGUCUGCAGCGACUGAGAAAGAGUCUCACCACAUCCUGACAUGAGGAAAAAGACUUUAUUGAAGACUACAAUGAGAAAAACUAUCAGACAGCAGACGGCUGCAUUCAAGAGAAGAAGACCAUCAAACAUCCACGUCAGCUGAUGGAGGUCCAAGAGUCUCACCAAACAAACAACCUACAGAGUGAAGACCUUGAAUCUGAUUGGACAGCCUCCUAUUCAGCCACAUUUUAGGCUGUUAGAUUGUUCCAGAUAAGAGAAGUACAAGAUUCUUCAGAGCCGUUCUACCACGAGCCUGACAGGAAGAACUCCAACAGCUACUGAAUGUUCCUGUGGUCCCUUC